CAAUCAAACUGGGAAAUAGCUCGUACUCCCCGAAAUGCAUUUAGGUGCAGCGUUGAUGUGAGUUUAAUAGAGGUAGAGCUACUGAUUGGAUGCGGGGGUUUCAUCGCCUACCAAUUCCUGACAAACUCCGAAUGCUAUUAAAUGCUCAUCAGCAGUGAGGGUAUGGGUGCUAAGGUCCAUAUCCGAGAGGGAAAGAACCCGGACCAUCAGCUAAGGUCCCCAAAUAUAUGCUAAGUUGACCAAACGCGGUCUGACUGCACUGACAGCUAGGAUGUUGGCUUGGAAGCAGCCAUACAUUUAAAGAGUGCGUAACAGCUCACUAGUCGAGCGGUUCGGCAUGGAGAAUAAACGGGCAUAAGCAUAUUACCGAAGCUAUGGGGUAGAGAUACCGGUAGGGGAGCAUUCUAUAGGCGUUGAAGCUAAAGGCGUGAGCCAUAGUGGAGCUUGAUAGAAAAGAAAAUGUAGGCAUAAGUAACGAUAAGGCAGGUGAGAAACCUGCCCGCCGAAAGAUCAAGGUUUCCUCAGCUAUGCUAAUCAGCUGAGGGUUAGUCGGGGACUAACGCGAACCCGAGUAGGGGUAGUGGAUGUACAACGGGUUAAUAUUCCCGUACCAUUAAUCUGAUAAAAGUGACGGAAUGAGAUAGCUACCGCGUACUGACGGAAUAGUACGUUUAAGGAGUUGUUAUGACUUCAAAAGUACACCGAGGCUUCGGCUGAAGUGAGAGUGGCGACAACGUUUCCAAGAAAAGCGAAGAUUAAUGCCCGUACCGUAAACCGACACAGGUGAUUGGGAUGAGAAUUCUAAGGCGCUCGAGAGAUUCAUGGCUAAGGAACUAGGCAAAAUAGACCUGUAACUUCGGGAGAAAGGUCGCCUAUCUAGCGAUAGGCCGCAGUGAAAAGGUCCAAGCGACUGUUUAUCAAAAACACAGGACUCUGCAAAAUCGAAAGAUGAGGUAUAGGGUCUGACACCUGCCCGGUGCUGGAAGGUUAAGAGGAGAGCUUAGCAGCAAUGCGAAGGUUUGAAUUGAAGCCCCAGUAAACGGCGGCCGUAACUAUAACGGUCCUAAGGUAGCGAAAUUCCUUGUCGGGUAAGUUCCGACCUGCACGAAUGGUGUAACGAUUUGGACACUGUCUCGGCCAUGAGCUCGGUGAAAUUGUAGUAUCGGUGAAGAUGCCGAUUACCCGCAGUGGGACGAAAAGACCCUGUGCACCUUUACUAUAUCUUCGUAUUGGUCUUGGAUAAGUGAUGCGUAGGAUAGGUGGGAGACUGUGAAGCGGCUAUUCCGGUAGUUGUGGAGUCAUUGUUGAAAUACCACCCUUUGCUUAUCUGAGGUCUAACUUUGCGCAAGGCAAAGGACAAUUCGUGGAGGGUAGUUUGACUGGGGUGGUCGCCUCCAAAAGAGUAACGGAGGCUUCUAAAGGUUCCCUCAGCACGCUUGGUAACCGUGCGUAGAGUG
rnacentral:rRNA from 1 species